rnacentral:rRNA from 1 species
UACGUAGGGUGCAAGCGUUGUCCGGAAUUAUUGGGCGUAAAGGGCGCGUAGGUGGUGGCUUAAGCGUGCGGUGAAAGCUCGGGGCUCAACCCCGAGUCGGCCGUGCGAACUGGGCUCACUGGAGCAUAGUAGAGGCAGGUGGAAUUCCGGGUGUAGCGGUGGAAUGCGUAGAGAUCCGGAAGAACACCGGUGGCGAAGGCGGCCUGCUGGGCUAUGGCUGACACUGAGGCGCGACAGCGUGGGGAGCAAACAGG